rnacentral:lncRNA from 1 species
GUAACUGGUAUAGAUGGUGUAAAGACCAUAAGGUGGAAUCUAACAGUUUCUGAGAGCUCCAAAGGUGGGUACAGAAAGAAGCAGCACUCAUCAUUUCUCCACCUGUUACAGAACAUUUCAGAUCUGAAACUGCUGCUAAUGUAAAAUAAUUCCUAUCUGAUUAGAUCCAGGAAUCAGACUAUCAUGGUAUGUUCUCUACAUAAUCACACCUGUAAUUGGAUUUAUUCUAUGUGGCUUAAUGUUAGCUGUCUACAUCUGCAGAAAAUACUGGAACACAACCCCAAACCAGGAUUCAAAUGAUAGCAGGACCUUGACUUCUGUCCAGUUUGUCCACUUGAAAUGAGAAUUGUGUCGUAUACAGCGUGAGACACAAGCGGAGUCAGUCAGUACUCUGAGCAGCUUUACUCUGUGGUUUCAACUGAGCUGAAGAGCAUGAAGUUCACAUUCAGACCGAAUUAG